rnacentral:rRNA from 1 species
UACGUAGGGUGCAAGCGUUGUCCGGAAUUAUUGGGCGUAAAGAGCUCGUAGGCGGUCUGUCGCGUCGGCUGUGAAAACCCGAGGCUCAACCUCGGGCCUGCAGUCGAUACGGGCAAACUAGAGUACUGCAGGGGAGACUGGAAUUCCUGGUGUAGCGGUGAAAUGCGCAGAUAUCAGGAGGAACACCGGUGGCGAAGGCGGGUCUCUGGGUAGUAACUGACGCUGAGGAACGAAAGCGUGGGUAGCGAACAGG